rnacentral:rRNA from 1 species
AGUGAACGCUGGCGGUAGGCCUAACACAUGCAAGUCGAACGGCAGCAUAGUAAGCGUUUGCUCUUACGGGUGGCGAGUGGCGGACGGGUGACGCAUACAUCGGAUUCUACUUUUUCGUGGGGGACAACGUAGGAAAACUGACGCUACUACCUCAUACGACCUACGGGUUGAAUCAAGAGAUAUUCGGACCUUUGCCGAUUCAAUUAGCCGACGCCGGAUUAGCUAGUUGGCGGGGUAAAGGCCCACCAAGGCGACGAUCCGUAGCUGAUCUGAGAGGAUGAUCAGCCACACUGGAACUGAGACACGGUCCAGACUCCUACGGGAGGCAGCAGUGGGGAAUAUUGGACAAUGGGCGCAAGCCUGAUCCAGCCAUGCCGCGUGGGUGAAGAAGGCCUUCGGGUUGUAAAGCUCUUUUGUUGGGAAAGAAAAGCAGCGGAUGAAUCCCUCGCUGUUCUGACGGUACCCAAUGAGUAAGCACCGGCUAACUUCGUG